UAUACUCCUCCAUCCGUCAAUUCUCUCUCUCCCUCACUACUCUAAAUCCCCAAAUUGAACACCCUAAUUUUGCAAGAACAUUGACGCCUGCCCUUCCAUCUCCGGCGACCGACGAAUUUCACCGUCCUCCGCGUCCCGUCCCGUCUCUCUCUUCUCCGGCGAAAACGCCGCCAUCUCGACGGAAAUCUCUGAGUUUCGCCAUCGUGCUGGCUUUCGCGCCGACCUCUACUUCGCGCCACGAGCAGCCGCUCCUCCCGCCGUCGUCCCUCGCCGUUCGCCGCUGCCUCCUUCGCGAGGCCGCCCGCUCCCUCCGUCGAACGCCCUCCGGCGAGCGCUCUCCUUCUCGGCGAAGUCAGCGGUGAGGAGGAGGCGUCGCUCUCUCUCUCUCAGCCACGGCCCGUAACCACCCCGCGGAGCCUCCGGGAUUCCGGCUCGUCCCGUCGACUCAUUCUCGGCCUAAAGCUAAGUCCUCUUCCCCCUUCCCUUUAAAGCUUGAUUCCUUGCUUUGAGUUAUUACUUCAGCAACUAAGUGGUGAUGGGGAAAAUUUUGAUUAUGUUACUCUAAAGUUGAUUUUGAGAAGUGGAAUUAGCUCACUAGAAUGAGCAUUUGUUGCCUCCACUUUAAAUGCUACAUCUUGCUAUGGUUCAUAUCUGGUUUCUGAGCAUCUAUGUUCUAAGUUCCUUGACUAUCUAUGAUGCUCCUAAUUGAUGCAAGUUGUUGGUUUUGUGGAGGUUACCUUGCUUGGUGAUUCUCGGUUGUGGCCCGUUCCUCUGUGUGGCCGCUGCCUCCCUUGUCCGUUCCCUCUCCCUGAUCUUUGCUGAAAUUCCUAUGUGUGGUGAAGCUUGUAGUGACUAAAGGGUGGAAGGGAAUGGAGGAGGUGAGGGCUGCUUUUAUAGCUCCUAAAUGUUGGCAUUUUGUGCCUGAUUUUUUUUGGAGAUUGAUGAUUCCAUUUUGGGGCUGCAUACUUCGCUCCUUUUGGUUUCUGUGAGUGUGUUGAUUCAUACUAGAAUGGUGAAAUUCUUGAGGGAAGGAAGUCCUUCCUUGACUUUCUCUUGAUCCUCGGUUGAUGGAAAGGAGUACCUGAUCCACAUUCCUUUUUGAGUACACAGCUGCCCUUUUGGCUCUUUGUACAUCUCCCAAGAUCGAGGAAGAUAGGGUAAGAGAUUGGCUUGCUUCACCAUUUUGUCCUACUUCCCUACUCACCCUAGUUUUGGAGUAGAUAAAAGUUGUAUUUCCAUUUUUAUGAAAUACUUGAAUUUGUAGCUCAAAUUCUUUCAAUAAGCUUGAUUUGUUCCAA